rnacentral:tRNA from 1 species
GCCUGGGUGGCUCAGUCGGUUGAGCGUCCGACUUCAGCUCAGGUCAUGAUCUCACAGCUUGUGAGUUCAAGCCCCACGUCGGGCU